rnacentral:rRNA from 1 species
GUAGGGUGCAAGCGUUAAUCGGAAUUACUGGGCGUAAAGCGUGCGCAGGCGGUUAUGCAAGACAGAGGUGAAAUCCCCGGGCUCAACCUGGGAACUGCCUUUGUGACUGCAUGGCUAGAGUACGGUAGAGGGGGAUGGAAUUCCGCGUGUAGCAGUGAAAUGCGUAGAUAUGCGGAGGAACACCGAUGGCGAAGGCAAUACCCUGGACCUGUACUGACGCUCAUGCACGAAAGCGUGGGGAGCAAACAGGAUUAGAUACCCUGGUAGUCCACGCCCUAAACGAUGUCAACUGGUUGUUGGGAGGGUUUCUUCUCAGUAACGUAGCUAACGCGUGAAGUUGACCGCCUGGGGAGUACGGCCGCAAGGUUG